AAGUCAGUGGUGAAAUCCUGUGGCUUAACUGCAGAACUUCCAUAGAUACUGCAAAUCUUGAGUUCGGAAGAGAGAAGCGGAAUUCCAGGUGUAGUGGUGAAAUACGUAGAUAUCUGGAAGAACACCAGUGGCGAAGGCGGCUUCUUGGUCCGUAACUGACGCUGAGACGCGAAAGCGUGGGGAGCAAACAGGAUUAGAUACCCUGGUAGUCCACGCUGUAAACGAUGAAUACUAGGUGUUGGAUACGUUAGUAUCCAGYGCCGCACKAACGCAUUAAGUA
rnacentral:rRNA from 1 species